GUCAGCAGCAGAACGCCCCCUAGCCCAGUCACGUCCCACACAGAGGUCACUUCUGGUUCCGGGAGGUGCCACGGUGUCAGCUGGGAGUAGCCUGGGAAUCCAGACAGAUGGGUGAGGCCACAAUUGGAGACACUGAGCUCAGCUGCUCCCACCUCAGCAUGUCGGCCUGAUUUUGGAGUGGGAGCUGAAGGGGAGAGCAGAGGAGCUGCUGGGAUUGCGGGUGGCGCUGCUGUGGCUGCUGCUGCUCUAAAACCAUCUGAAAAUGCUUCCAGGGCACUGAGGAGCUGCCUCCCCCACCUCCACCUCCCGGACAUGAGCAGGGACCAGCUCAUGGGGCUGGGACCCGAGCUCCUGUGGCUGCUGCUGCCCUGCAGCCAACCAUCUGACAUCCCUGCCAGGGAGGUGAGCAGCAGCCUCCCCCACCUCCAGCUCCUGGACAAGAGCACAGAGAAGCUCAUGGCGCUGGAAGCGAAGCUGCUGACUCAGAGCAGCCUGAACAACAGGCUAGACAACACAGGCUUGCUGAUGGAGGGACUCGACCAGUCUCCACUCUGUUUCAGACUCCAGAAUGCUCUUUCUCCCUGCAGCUCUGCCUCACACAGCUCCACAUUCCCAGAGUUUGUCUGACUCAGAAGAUGAAGCCAGUGAUCCUGCACACAGAAUGCAAAGUAUUCUUCUCAUUUGACAACAUUGGGUGCACAAAAAAUGAAAACUAAGAAAAGAUCAUAAAAGAAAAUGGAGCUUGGAUUUGAUUAUAAAGCUCGGUGGUUUCCUCUUUACUGUCCAUGUAAGAUUGAAGAUUUUGACGUUUAUGUAUCUCUUCAGCAUGAUUGAAUCCAGUUUCCUGUUUAGAUUUUUGAGUAUAAUUUAUUCUAAAUAGCAGUUCAAAAUUUGGCUGGUUGGUCACAAUUUUCACUUAAAUCGUUGAUGAGAAGCUAACAGAAUGGUAUAUUUAGAGGAAUUGUCAUAAUCAGCCUGGAAUGGUGUCUCCUGGGACACUUGGGUUGACUAAAGUAAGUCAUCAUGACACUUGUAACACCAGAGUUGUUCUGUUUUGCCUGAAAAUUAUGCCAUAAAUAGAAUGAGGCUUCUCCUUGGGUUACCCCUUCAAACUCUAACUAACUAACAGGUUAUAAAUGAUUAUCACUUUUAAAUUGAAUAUUUAACCUUCAGAUCUUGUUUUGUGUUAUUUUAGUAAGUUUAUGCAAUCUAUAUGUGAUUAUAAUUAGUAUGGAUAUGGAGUCUUUGGAGUCUUAUUCUAGAGAUUGUUUUAGAACACUCUACAACCUGAUACAAUGCAAAACACUUGGGAAUAUACUUUAGCAGACUAGGUAAUCAACUGUAUAUGUAAUUCCCGAAUCCCACAGACCUAGAACUCUUUAUGUAGAAUGUGCUGAUCAGGAACUCUGAGAAACACCUGACUCAAGCUCCUGAUGAUGGCAUUACAGAUAUAUGCAGCCACCUACUUACAUUUCAUGUUAACUUUGUUUUGUUAACUGCAAUGAUCUCUUGUAAUCAUGCCCUUUAUGUUUUUAGGAGGCCAGACUCGUGAAACAUCAACUUGCCAACAGACAGAAUUACUGUACUUGCUAGAAAAAUCUAAUCUUAAGUAAUCUAAGAAAGUCUGGUUCAAAACAUUGAACUAAAUGAGGGAAAGUUGGACAUAAUUGUGCAUACAUACAAACAAGUACUUGGGAGGUACAAGCAGAAGAUCAGGAGUUCAAAGUUAGCAUAGGCAUCAUAGUAUAGUUGAAGCCAUCCAGGAAUAUUUACGUGAAACCUUAUCUAAAAGUGGGGGUGAGUUGGGGUGGGAUGGAUAGUAACUGUCAAAAGUUCACAUUUGCUUGUGUUGUAUACUAAAUGCAAAGUUUCUCUGCAUUUAAUAGUAAAAUUACAACUGGAUACCACUACAGUUGAAGGUAGUCAGAAGUAAAGCUCAUUGUAUCCAUUCACAAUAGAAUAGUUCACAAAAUUGGUUUAACCACUGAACAUUAAGAAAGUAGUUUUGAAAAAGCAGUAAUGAAAAUACUAAAAUGGUGUUUCCUUUAAGUGUAGCGCAAACUGUUGACAUUGAAUAUUAACAAAUUAUACUAUUGAAUUAUGCAAUAAAAAUAAGAAUAAAACUAUAAUUUGGCAUUAGGAAAUAGAUAUUUAACUCUUACUGCUGAGGAUUAAAUAACAUAACUGUAAUAACAUUAAGAUUGGUUGGUCAGAACUAAAGGAAGCUUCAGUUUGCAUUAGUGAGUUAGGUGAGCAUUUAAAGGGUGCCUUGUUAGAAUCUAGUAGUAUGCUAGAAUAUUUGUAUGUUUCUUAUCAUAUAUAUGUAUAUAUAAAAUUUUAUUUUAGUUGGUUAUUUUAGGAGGUUAUAGUAGUAGUCUAUGUGUAAAUUCAGGUUUUGUGUGUGUUUUUGUUGUAUCAUGAAACAGGAGUUUCAUGACUGCAGUUAUGAAACGCUGCUAUAGUGAGUCCCCUUACCUUAUCCUCAUAAUAGUGUAGUAAGUUCAUUUUUAAUUCUCUUUUCUUCGAGAUUUUUUUCUGUGUUCAUAAAAGUGAUGUUUUUACAGCCUAUGUAAUUAGAUGAUAGUAGUUACAAACUCUUUUAUUUUCACACAGUGUGCAACAUUAAACUGCCUAUUCCAAAAUUUGGAAAGGCAUAGAUGACUUGGCAUGUCCCGACAUAUCAAACUGUAAAUAUUUUGUAAUUAGAUGACUUAGUUAUGCAACAUAGAAUGUUUUCAUGGAAAACAAUCAAAAUGAUGGGGCCUUAUACUCCUGGAUUAAAUCCUGUAGUUCCUGGAUUGAUAAAUAUCUUGACCUAAGAAAUAAUAUGAGUAGUCAUUGAACAGGUGUCUGUUUCUUCUUUCAUAAAUGUAUAGAUUUCAGCCUGUGAUAUGUAAAUGUAUCCUAUGGUGGUCUUUCAGAAAGUUUUUAUUAUGUUUUGUGUGUGUAUAAUUAAAUUCUGAAUAGCGUAACAAAUCAGUAGUUUUGGCAGAGAUGUGGAUUAUAAAGACAGAUGCAGUACCUUGUACAUCCUUAGCAAGCUAUUGUCCAUGCUUAGAGCAUAGAUUGUCUUUAGUGCAAUCUUCUUUGGUAGUUAUUUUACCUCCUUUUUUUUGGUUUAGUUUUAUCUUUUUAAGCCAACUGAGGCCUUAUCUUUAACAAAAGCUACCAAUAAUUGCUAUUUUUUUCUUUUCCAUACUUUUUAUUUUUAAAAACUGACUAUAGGCAUUAACUUGGAGAGAUAGGAAUUAGACAUCCAAAGUAUACGGAAUGUAUUUUAAGUUUCAGUGUGUCUCGCUAGUUACAAAUCCCAACUUUAUUGACCAAAGAAAUCUUAGAGUAUCAGAAUCAGAAAGGGGGUAGUUUUCAUAAUACACCUAUUUCAUUUUCUGAGACAGAGCAUUGCUAGCUUUGAAAUGGGAAUGUAGACAAGUCUGUCCUGUUUGUAAUGCUCUUGACUGGGCUUCCCAAACAUUGUAAUCACAUGUGUAAACCAUUAGCCUGGCUAAAUAUUCUACUUAGAAAUGUAGCAAAGGUGCCUGUUUCUAAAAAUAUUGAUUUCUAUAUUACCCUUUCCAAAAUAAAAAAAUGUAAAUUGUAAAUUGUCUUCAAAUAUGAGAAAAUUGGGUAUUAUAAAUAACAAUAAAGAAUAAAGUUAGUCCUCAUUAGGACAAGACCUUAUUGCAGAUUGGUUCUAACAAACAGUGGAUAUACAGGGUAAAAAUGAAGACUCAAAAAGAUUCUGUUUGAUGGAACAGAAUGUUAAUUAAAAUAAAUCAUUAAAGACAGCAAAGAAUAAUAGAAUUUAUUUCCAAGGAAUCCAAUGAUCUAAUAAAGCCCUGAAUAGUAAUAAAGAGUUAUCUUAAAUUGAUUCACCAAAUUUCCUACUACUAAUAUCUGAAAAAAUUAUCAAUAAUUGGGAAGUUCCUUACUGCCAAAUUUAUUAUUGAGUCCUCUCUGCCAUUAAGUUGCUCCCUACCAAGCAGAGCAAGCUACCUGUAGGCUUUCAUUCAGUCUUGCUCUUCCCAGAGUUCCCAUUGGAAAGUAGUUUUUUUUUUUUGGCCUGGUUUAUAAUAGCGCAGGGUAGCCUUAGUUUACAUUUUGGUUCACUUUUUUUAAAAAUUACAAAUUAAAUUUUAGUAGCAGCUAUUUACAUAAAGAAUGUAAUGUUAAUCUUUAACUUUCCAUGUGAGUCCUUGUAGAUAGGUUACUAAUAAAAGUAUAUAUAUAUAUAUUAUAUUAUAUUAGUAGACUAGAUGGUAAUUCAGGUUUUGUGUGUGUUUAUGUUAUUUCAUGAAACAGGAGUUUCAUGACUGCAGUUGUGAAACGCUGCUAUAAUGAGUCCCCUUACCUUUUCCUCAGAAUAGUGUAAUAAGAUCAUUUUUAUUUUUUAGACAUUUUUUUCUGUUUAUAAAAGUGAUGUUUCUACUGCUAAUGUAAUUUUAUGACAGUAGUUAUAAAGUUGUUUCUUUUUUUCACACUGAGCAACAUCAAGCUGCCUAUUCCAUAAUUAGGAAAGGCACAGAAGACUUAACGGGUUCCCACGUAUCAAACUGUAAAUAUUUUGUAAUUAGAUGACUUAGUUAAGCAACAUAGAAUGUUUUCAUGGAAAACAUUCAGAAUGAUGGGACCAUACACUCCUGGAUUAAAUCCUGUACUUUCAUGAUUGAUAGUCAUCCUUACCUAACUAAUGAUAUGAGUAGUCUUUUAGGAAUUACUUGUAAAUAGCCUUGUAAAUGGAGCAUCUAACAAUAUAUACCCUUUCAAGCCUCCUAGAAAAAGGUAUACUUUUUCUUCUUUCAUAAAUCUAGAUAUUCCUGCCUAUGGCAUAUAAAUGUUUGAUAUUGUCCUCUUUCAACAAAGUUUUUAUUGUGGAUUUUUAUGUUUAUAGUUUAAACUAUGUAAAUAGUACACCAAACCAGACUUUUUGCCAGAAAUGGUUAUUAUAGAGAAAGAUUCAGAGUGUUGUACAUGUUGAAAAAGCUACAUUCUAUGCAUAACAUCGAUAGCUUUUAGGGAAAUCCUCAUUGGUACCUUAUCUACUUGUUUUGGUUGUUGUUUUAUAUUUUUCUUAUUUUUUUAUCCAGUUUGUCAUUACCAUUUAACGGAGCUGCAAUAAUUGCUAAGUUUUUCUUCUUUUUCACACUUUUCACUUAAAAAAAUAACUUACUAUAGACAUUACUUGAUGAGACAUAAAUAGAUAAUCUCAGUAUAUGAUCAUCUUCUUAAGAUAUCAUAUUACAUCAAAUAUGAAGAUGGGCAUCAAAGAAAGUCGUUGUGGAGUGUGCCUUUGACAUGAUAGGACUACCCAUUUGGACAAAAAGCUUCACUUCCUGGAAUGCUUCACAGGAAAUUGUCAAAACAGGUCAAGCAGGUUACAAAGAAAUGUUACUGCUGAACUUGCAAAGGAACAGUAUGAUUAUUCAUUAACCUGCUUUAUCAAAACGUCAGCCAGUCAUUCUGUGGCUAUAUGCUGAAGAGGGAUUCCACAUUGGUGCAGAGGAUCCUAGGGUGACUUUCUAGGCAUCGAGAUCUCACUGACAGUUCUAGAAUAUAUAUUAUCCUACUGGAUUCUUUUCUGGUGUUGAAGAAAGAUAGUUAUGGAUUUUCAUAGUUAUUGUAAUAAAUUGCAUAUAAAGCUUUAAACUGACAUAAAUAGGAUAGAUGAUACAAUGUUUUCUUUAAAUUUGCCAAAUGUUAAUGGACUAAAUAUUGUUAACUACUUUUUUGCUUAUUACCUCUUCUAAUGCAUAAAUGUACCAUUUUAAAUUGAAACUGCCUUGUUUUUCAAGACAGAAAGACAUGAUGUGGGAUGUCCUUCUGUAUGAUGUGACUAUAUGUUUCUCUUCUUUCUUGAUGAAAAAAGCUGUGCUGGCUAAAUACCAGUCAGGAUAUACCAAGGGAGAAUGUAUAGGCAAAAUAACCAGAGUAGGAAAUUCUGAGAGAGGAAUACAUAGAGCAGAUCUUCAGACAGAUGCUAGGUAGCUGCUGGGAAGAUAAGUCGCCUGGUCAUUUUCUGGUUAGCCAAAACAACCUGGAGAUUCACUGAUUAAUACAAAUGGGUUAGUACCUAAAGGCUGCUAGCCAUUGAGUAGACUGUACCAAAGGACAAAUAAUUUAUAUUUUAUAUAACCCUCUGCGUGUUUAUUUGGGAGUGUAGUGUGGCAGAAUCAAGAUGAACACUCAAUUCUGCCUACACAUUACUGUUAGUGGAAAAAAUAAGCUGAGUUGCUUUGUUUUGUGAACAUGGAUGGUAGAGAGUUCCUCUUUUCACAGUUCACAUGUUAAGCACUGUGUUCCUAAGAAAUAGUGCUGACCUCAAUCGUCACUUUCUACAGGUCAUGUACAAACUGGCAUUGAAUUUUUUUGCAUUCAGUGCCCAAUUGUUUGCUAGCAACAACACAAUGGGGAAACAAGGGAGGGAAAUUUCUACAUAACCAAUCUUAGCUUUUCACAAAUUUGGGGGUUAAGUACCAACAAAUGUGGCAGAAGAAAUGUUACUUUUAUUUUGGUCUAAUUAUUAUAUAUACUCUGACUUCUUUAAUUUUCUGGAUCUAAAGUCAUAUGUGUUACACAAGGCUGUAUAAGGGUAUACAUAAUUAAAAUAUAACUCUGAAAUAUAAAUAAGUACUGGAAUUUUCUAUUUGGAAAAAUAUGGUUCAAUUGUUUCAAGUUAUAUUGUAAUGGCAAAUAUUCUAAAAAUUAUGUUAAACUAUUCAUAUUCUUGUGCUUCGUUACCAAAAAGACGUGAAAAAUUAUGAUCUCAUGUUAACUAUGUCAUGAAUUUUGUCUUAAACGUUGUGUAUUGCCUUAUUAGACUCAAAAAAUCUUAGAGAAAUUUAUAUUAAAAGAAAUAAAUAAUGUGGACCUAAAAAAAUGAGUAGUUUUGUCGGUCCCAAUAACACAAUCAAGUAAGGAAGUGUGAGUAUCUGGUUGUCUCUAUGUGUGUGGUUGUAUAAGUACAAUCAAAUAAAGAACAUCAUUGAAUUCAGGUAUCAGGAGUAUGAACCUGUAAUAGAACAUUAAAUAAAAUAAUUAACAAUCGAACAAAAAGGCAACUAUAUAUGUUAACACUCUUUUUGUACUUACAACAUGUUUCCUUGUUCCCAAAAAAUGAUUUUGUUGCCGCUUUGAACAUAUUUUUGGCACACAAGGUUAUGUUAAUGCAGCCGGAUAUUGUACAAAUGCUGUGCAAAGUUACCUAAAAUUAAAAUGUGGAACAAUUUA